CUCCUCUCAGGAUGGCACCUGGAGAGUUUCCAGUACUCUACCAGUCUUGACAACAGGAGGGAGAGUAAGGCAGAGGCUUAUCCAUUCCAUUCCUAGCUUGGGCAGUGGCUAGCGAGUGGAAAUGAUUCGGUUACAAGU
rfam:Ornithorhynchus anatinus chromosome 1, whole genome shotgun sequence.